AGUGCAUGUGGUGGAUGCCUUGGCAGUCAGAGGCGAUGAAAGACGUGAUAGCCUGCGAAAAGCUCCGGGGAGGCGGCAAAUAUCCUUUGAUCCGGAGAUGUCUGAAUGGGGGAACCCACCUACUUUAAGGUAGGUAUUGCAACAUGAAUACAUAGUGUUGCAAGGCGAACGAGGGGAAGUGAAACAUCUCAGUACCCUUAGGAAAAGAAAUCAAUUGAGAUUCCCUCAGUAGCGGCGAGCGAACGGGGAUCAGCCCAUUAAGUUAUGUGUGUUUUAGUGGAACGCUCUGGGAAGUGCGAACGUAGAGGGUGAUAUUCCCGUACACGAAAGGGCACACAUAAUGAUGACGAGUAGGGCGAGGCACGUGAAACCUUGUCUGAAUAUGGGGGGACCAUCCUCCAAGGCUAAAUACUCCUGACUGACCGAUAGUGAACCAGUACCGUGAGGGAAAGGCGAAAAGAACCCCUGUGAGGGGAGUGAAAUAGAUCCUGAAACCGCAUGCAUACAAGCAGUGGGAGCACCUUCGUGGUGUGACUGCGUACCUUUUGUAUAAUGGGUCAGCGACUUAUAUUCAGUAGCGAGGUUAACCGUAUAGGGGAGCCGUAGAGAAAUCGAGUCUUAAUAGGGCGUUUAGUUGCUGGGUAUAGACCCGAAACCAGGCGAUCUAUCCAUGAGCAGGUUGAAGGUUGGGUAACACUAACUGGAGGACCGAACCCACUGUCGUUGAAAAGCCAGGGGAUGACUUGUGGAUAGGGGUGAAAGGCUAAUCAAGCCUGGUGAUAGCUGGUUCUCCCCGAAAGCUAUUUAGGUAGCGCCUCGGACGAAUACCAUAGGGGGUAGAGCACUGUUUCGGCUAGGGGGUCAUCCCGACUUACCAAACCGAUGCAAACUCCGAAUACCUAUGAGUACUAUCCGGGAGACAGACUGCGGGUGCUAACGUCCGUAGUCAAGAGGAAAACAAUCCAGACCGCCAGCUAAGGCCCCAAAAUCAUAGUUAAGUGGGAAACGAUGUGGGAAGGCAUAGACAGCUAGGAGGUUGGCUUAGAAGCAGCCACCCUUUAAAGAAAGCGUAAUAGCUCACUAGUCGAGUCGGCCUGCGCGGAAGAUGUAACGGGGCUAAAACUAUGUGCCGAAGCUGCGGAUGUAUACUUUGUAUACGUGGUAGGGGAGCGUUCUGUAAGCCGAUGAAGGUGUGUUGAGAAGCAUGCUGGAGGUAUCAGAAGUGCGAAUGCUGACGUGAGUAACGACAAAACGGGUGAAAAACCCGUUCGCCGAAAGACCAAGGGUUCCAGUCCAACGUUAAUCGGGGCUGGGUGAGUCGACCCCUAAGGCGAGGCCGAAAGGCGUAGUCGAUGGGAAAAUGGUUAAUAUUCCAUUACUUCUGUGUAAUGCGAUGAGAGGACGGAGAAGGCUAAAUCAGCCUGGCGUUGGUUGUCCAGGUGAAAGGAUGUAGGCAUGUAUCUUAGGCAAAUCCGGGGUACUCUAUGCUGAGAUCUGAUAGCAAGCUGUACUUGUACAGCGAAGUGGUUGAUGCCAUGCUUCCAGGAAAAGUCUCUAAGCUUCAGUUACACAGGAAUCGUACCCGAAACCGACACAGGUGGUCAGGUCGAGUAGACCAAGGCGCUUGAGAGAACUCUGCUGAAGGAACUAGGCAAAAUGGUACCGUAACUUCGGGAGAAGGUACGCUGUUGUUGGUGAUGGAACUCGCUUCCUGAGCUGACGACAGCCGCAGAAACCAGGCCGCUGCAACUGUUUAUUAAAAACAUAGCACUCUGCAAACACGAAAGUGGACGUAUAGGGUGUGAUGCCUGCCCGGUGCUGGAAGGUUAAUUGAUGGGGUUAGCGUAAGCGAAGCUCUUGAUCGAAGCCCCAGUAAACGGCGGCCGUAACUAUAACGGUCCUAAGGUAGCGAAAUUCCUUGUCGGGUAAGUUCCGACCUGCACGAAUGGCAUAAUGAUGGCGGCGCUGUCUCCAGCAGAGGCUCAGUGAAAUCGAAAUCGCUGUGAAGAUGCAGUGUACCCGCGGCUAGACGGAAAGACCCCGUGAACCUUUACUGCAGCUUGACACUGAACUUUGACCUUACUUGUGUAGGAUAGGUGGGAGGCUUUGAAGCUGGAACGCUAGUUCCAGUGGAGCCGUCCUUGAAAUACCACCCUGGUAAUGUUGAGGUUCUAACUCUGUCCCGUGAUCCGGGACGAGGACCGUGUCUGGUGGGUAGUUUGACUGGGGCGGUCUCCUCCUAAAGAGUAACGGAGGAGUACGAAGGUGCGCUCAGCGUGGUCGGAAAUCACGCGUAGAGUAUAAAGGCAAAAGCGCGCUUAACUGCGAGACCCACAAGUCGAGCAGGUACGAAAGUAGGUCUUAGUGAUCCGGUGGUUCUGUAUGGAAGGGCCAUCGCUCAACGGAUAAAAGGUACUCUGGGGAUAACAGGCUGAUACCGCCCAAGAGUUCAUAUCGACGGCGGUGUUUGGCACCUCGAUGUCGGCUCAUCUCAUCCUGGGGCUGAAGCAGGUCCCAAGGGUAUGGCUGUUCGCCAUUUAAAGAGGUACGCGAGCUGGGUUUAGAACGUCGUGAGACAGUUCGGUCCCUAUCUACCGUGGGCGCUGGAAAUUUGAGAGGAUCUGCUCCUAGUACGAGAGGACCAGAGUGGACGAACCUCUGGUGUACCGGUUGUGACGCCAGUCGCAUCGCCGGGUAGCUAUGUUCGGAAGGGAUAACCGCUGAAAGCAUCUAAGCGGGAAGCCUACCUCAAGAUAAGAUUUCCCUAGGACUUUAUGUCCUCUAAAGAGCCGUUCGAGACUAGGACGUUGA
rnacentral:rRNA from 2 species